GUAAAAAAUGGAGGCUGUCAAUGGUAAAAAAUUGAGACCGCCAACAUCAACGAUUUGUCAGCGUCGGCAUACGGUUUCGAUAGGUUUUUGGUGUUGUUUCAAAGACAAAAAGAGGGUAGUCAUAAAAAAGAUGAUAAUUUUCACUGACGAAGGUAGUGCAUUACCGUUUUUUAGCCAAUAAUGCGGUGAAAAUCUCAAAAUUUUCAACAUUCGGAGAAUCUUCACAGUGUAAUUCCAGGGUGUCUACAAGUCCAGAAUUUCCGGAAAGUUCGGAAAUAGUACUGAUUUUUUAAGAACGGUCCGGAAGUACUGAAAAAGUGCGGAAAUUCCAUUAGAAGGUCCGGAAUUUUCCAUUUUUGUCGUAAUUUUAAAGAGAAAUGCAAAUGUUCGAGAUUUUUUCGAAUUUCGUCAAAUGGAGGCACUGAAAAAGUACUGGAUUUUUCCGUUGAGGAGGUACUGAAUUUCUUGGGAAUAUACUGAAAAAGUACUGUAAAAGUACUGAUUUUUGGCCAUCCUGUUUUAGUAGCUAUCCUGAAAAAGUAAUGAGUGGUUUUGAAAUUUCCCGUGGGAAUACGGGGCCAUACCAUGCGCGAAGCAGUCCUUUGGAAAAACGGCAUAAGAUUCACUUCGUGGAUGAAUCUUGUCAGCUACCUCUCUCUACCAUCGAGCAAGAGGGCACGGUGCAAAACAAAAUGUCUUCGGGAAUCCUGAUUGGAAGUAAUGAAAAAGACACGUGGGUCACAGAUAAUCAAAAGAAUGUUGAGGAAGACCACGAAGGUGUUUUAAAUCACUCGCUUCUUGUGAUGGCUGAAGCAGACGCACAGAAAUUGAAGGUCAGAAGCUGGUUCAGUCGUAGAAAAAGUUUGAAGAAGAAUGGCCACCACUCUCAUAAGUGUUGCGUGUUGUGCCCUUGGAGACGACGUACUCGGGAGAAGGGUUGUGGACAACUCAUAGAGGAAGAUGAAAAAGAUCAAUGGUUGAGUGUAUGCGGUUGUUUCUGCUGCUUCUUGUUAUGA
rnacentral:lncRNA from 1 species